CGAUCCACUGAGAUUCAGCCC
rnacentral:sRNA from 1 species